UUAAGCAGAGAUGGAAACUAUCAACUAUAUCUUUUUUGCAUUUUUCUCAUUUUAUCACUUAAUCAAGUGAUCUUUUCAGAGUAAAAAUGAACAUAAGUCAAGUCAAAGACAGAAUUGGACAUCAUGCUGCUGCUUUUAGUAUUCAAUUCUAAAAGUAUGUUAGCACAUAUUGAAAUUCUAUGGCUUAGUCCUUAUAUGAAUAUAUGAAUGUCAAUUAUACGUUCAUUUCUUUUCACUGACUAAUAUUAUCUAAUCCGUAUCAUUUUGGUUCCUCCUGUAAUGAGAAAAUGGACAGAAAAAAAUUCCAUGCAUAGCUUAUUCCCCAAAGAAAUAAUUUGGCCUCCGAUGAUGGUUAAAAGGAUAGUUUACCUUUGUUGGUAUGCCAUUACCUAAGACAUGGACCUUUUCUCUUCAUCUUCAUGCCUUGAGUCUGUGGUUGUGUUUGAAGAAUAAAACCACUGGAUUUCCAGGCUGCAAUCUGUACUUUCCAGGUCAGCAGAGUCUCCAAAGAAGCAAGUUUUUGGUCCCCUACCAUGUACCAGCUCUAAAAAGAACUUUCUCGUUAGCCAGGACACCAGCAGGCGGUUUUUCUUGGGGAACUUCAAUGGAGCAUUGCUUUUGUUGGAGAAAAGAGAGAAUCUUGGGUAAGUGAGACAAAGAAACGAUAAGAACGAUUUCCAGCUGGGAAGAAGAUGAGCUUGCUCUGUGCGGUCUGUGCACUUUGAUGUGAGCACUUGUCUUUAUCUUCUGCUUUUAAACUGAAGAAACGUCUUAUACUUAAUAAUUCUAUUGAUAGAUCUUUCUUUUUUGCCCAAGAUAGUACUCAGAGUACAGUGCAGGUGUGUAUGUGUGUUUUCCAGUUUUCACUAACACUGAAUAUUAGAAUUCAUACUUUUAUAGCAUUCGAUGGAAUGAAUAUGAUGUCCUCUCUAAAAGUUUACUCUCUCUCCUACCUGUUUACUUUCAUUCUCUCUUCCGAUUUUCUCUCCCUUCCAAUUUUCUUAUUCCAUUUUCUAUGUUUAAUAUCAAGAUAAUAAUGAUGUUGUUCAUCCUAACACACAACUCUCCCCUAUAAUAUUGUGAGUGUAUACAUUAGCUACGGCCUUGUUUCAGGGACUCACUGUUGCCCUGAAGAAUCCAGCCAGUAAGCACAGUACUCACCCUUUGUGAAGGAGAAAUCAGAAAAUUAUGAGAUCAAUUUAAGAUGCUGUCUUUGAAAGAGACUAAAGCCAAAGUAUAUAAUAGGCACCAUGUGCUAAAAAUGUCCAGGAGAGGCUGUUCAAUUCCUCAGACUGUUCCCCUGAGAAAAACAGAGCUAUUUGUAGAUCCCUAGAUGUGAUAUAUUCUUUUAUUGGAAGUCUAUAUCUACUUUUCUGUCUACUGGUCUUUCAGGUAUUAGUUCAAACACUGCUUUCCUUGUCUAAGCAGACUUGACGACUCGAGGCAGAGUUAGUCUCUUCCUCCUCUGCGAUACCAUGCUGGGCGCCACUGCAGCAGUGUUAUCCAGUAUUCGAGAGAGUCGUUGGCCUGCCUCCUCCCUGGCCUAAAUUUCCAUAAGAACAGAGUUUCUGACUUUUCAUCAUUGUAAUCAAAACUUCUAUUAAAGUACUUGUAAUAUAGUGGGGCUGUUGAAUUGGCUGAAUUAGUGAAUUAAAUAUGAGUAGAAUAAAUGUAGAUCUUCCAACCUUUCUAACUGAAGC
rnacentral:lncRNA from 1 species